rnacentral:rRNA from 1 species
CUUCCUACGGGGCGCAGCAGUGGGGAAUAUUGCACAAUGGGGGAAACCCUGAUGCAGCGACGCCGCGUGAGCGAAGAAGUAUUUCGGUAUGUAAAGCUCUAUCAGCAGGGAAGAAAAUGACGGUACCUGACUAAGAAGCCCCGGCUAAAUACGUGCCAGCAGCCGCGGUAAUACGUAUGGGGCAAGCGUUAUCCGGAUUUACUGGGUGUAAAGGGAGCGCAGGCGGCUUGGCAAGUCUGAUGUGAAAGGCUGGGGCUCAACCCCAGGACUGCAUUGGAAACUGUCUGGCUAGAGUGCAGGAGAGG